GAUGAACGCUGGCGGCGUGCCUAAUACAUGCAAGUCGAGCGAACAGACGAGGAGCUUGCUCCUCUGACGUUAGCGGCGGACGGGUGAGUAACACGUGGAUAACCUACCUAUAAGACUGGGAUAACUUCGGGAAACCGGAGCUAAUACCGGAUAAUAUAUUGAACCGCAUGGUUCAAUAGUGAAAGACGGUUUUGCUGUCACUUAUAGAUGGAUCCGCGCCGCAUUAGCUAGUUGGUAAGGUAACGGCUUACCAAGGCAACGAUGCGUAGCCGACCUGAGAGGGUGGUGGCCGACAUGGGAACGGGAACGGGGUCCAGACUCGUGGGGGAGGGACAAGAGGGGACUGUGCGGCAGUGGGGGAGAGCGUGACGGAGCAGGGCGGGGUGAGAGAAAAGGGUCUCGGGUUCGAAAACCUGUUUUAUGGGGAAAAAAAAAAUGUUAAAUAAACUGUGCCGUUCUUGACGGUAAUAAAUAAAAAGGCCAGGGCUAACUCCGUG
rnacentral:rRNA from 1 species